rnacentral:lncRNA from 1 species
AGAUGCGCAAGGCGGAGUGCUCGUUACCAAAGGAUAUUGGAAACUGCAAGGUUGGAUGGAAUCUGUCUUAUCAGUGGUACUUCGACCCGGGCAUGUCAGCCUGUCGACCUUUUCUUUAUGGAGGCUGUGGUGGAAACAAGAACAGAUUUGCAUCGUGCGAGCUGUGUAACAGUGCUUGUGAAACUAGCGUCUGUGCGAAGGAGAAGCCUGGGCCUAGUCCAUUUUCCAGGAGCAGGAAACACCACAAAAGGCAUCGAUUUCACCGACGACGUUAUCAAGAUUAUGACAGUGCGGAAUGAGGGAAC